GGCGGACGGGUGAGUAACACGUGGGUAACCUGCCUGUAAGACGGGGAUAACUCCGGGAAACCGGGGCUAAUACCGGAUAAUAAAAGAGGAUGCAUAUCUUCUUUUUGAAAGUCGGCUCACGCUGACACUUACAGAUGGGCCCGCGGCGCAUUAGCUAGUUGGUGAGGUGACGGCUCACCAAGGCGACGAUGCGUAGCCGACCUGAGAGGGUGAUCGGCCACACUGGGACUGAGACACGGCCCAGACUCCUACGGGAGGCAGCAGUAGGGAAUCUUCGGCAAUGGGCGAAAGCCUGACCGAGCAACGCCGCGUGAGCGAUGAAGGCCUUCGGGUCGUAAAGCUCUGUUGUUAGAGAAGAACAAGUACGAGAGUAACUGCUCGUACCUUGACGGUACCUAACCAGAAAGCCACGGCUAACUACGUGCCAGCAGCCGCGGUAAUACGUAGGUGGCAAGCGUUAUCCGGAAUUAUUGGGCGUAAAGCGCGCGCAGGCGGUCUCUUAAGUCUGAUGUGAAAGCCCACGGCUCAACCGUGGAGGGUCAUUGGAAACUGGGAGACUUGAGUGCAGGAGAGAAAAGUGGAAUUCCACGUGUAGCGGUGAAAUGCGUAGAGAUGUGGAGGAACACCAGUGGCGAAGGCGGCU
rnacentral:rRNA from 1 species